rnacentral:rRNA from 1 species
GUAGCGGCGAGCGAACGGGGAGGAGCCCAGAGCCUGAAUCAGCAUGUGUGUUAGUGGAAGCGUCUGGAAAGGCGCGCGAUACAGGGUGACAGCCCCGUACACAAAAGCGCAUGUGCUGUGAGCUCGAUGAGUAGGGCGGGACACGUGGUAUCCUGUCUGAAUAUGGGGGGACCAUCCUCCAAGGCUAAAUACUCCUGACUGACCGAUAGUGAACCAGUACCGUGAGGGAAAGGCGAAAAGAACCCCGGCGAGGGGAGUGAAAAAGAACCUGAAACCGUGUACGUACAAGCAGUGGGAGCCCCACCACUAAGCCAGUGGUGAACUCCACAUACGCAUCCUUUGCUGAGGAUACGGUUAACGGAGCGCAAGCGACGUUCAACCGCAAAAGAAGCAGAGGGGGCUUAGUGGUGGGGUGACUGCGUACCUUUUGUAUAAUGGGUCAGCGACUUAUAUUCUGUAGCAAGGUUAACCGUAUAGGGGAGCCGGAGGGAAACCGAGUCUUAAUUGGGCGUUAAGUUGCAGGGUAUAGACCCGAAACCCGGUGAUCUAGCCAUGGGCAGGUUGAAGGUUGGGUAACACUAACUGGAGGACCGAACCGACUAAUGUUGAAAAAUUAGCGGAUGACCUGUGGCUGGGGGUGAAAGGCCAAUCAAACCGGGAGAUAGCUGGUUCUCCCCGAAAGCUAUUUAGGUAGCGCCUCGUGAAUUCAUCUCCGGGGGUAGAGCACUGUUUCGGCUAGGGGGCCAUCCCGGCUUACCAACCCGAUGCAAACUGCGAAUACCGGA